UGGGGAAUUUUGGACAAUGGGCGAAAGCCUGAUCCAGCAAUGCCGCGUGUGUGAAGAAGGCCUUCGGGUUGUAAAGCACUUUUUGUCCGGAAAGAAAUCCUUGGCUCUAAUACAGUCGGGGGAUGACGGUACCGGAAGAAUAAGCACCGGCUAACUACGUGCCAGCAGCCGCGGUAAUACGUAGGGUGCAAGCGUUAAUCGGAAUUACUGGGCGUAAAGCGUGCGCAGGCGGUUUGCUAAGACCGAUGUGAAAUCCCCGGGCGUCAACCUAGGGCAGCUGGCAGUUGGUGAUGCUGGGCAGGCUAGAGUAUGGCAGAGGGGGGUGAGAAUUCCACGUGUAGCAGUGAAAUGCGUAGAGAUGUGGAGGAAUACCGAUGGCGAAGGCAGCCCCUCGGCAGUCAAUCUGACGCUCAUGCACGAAAAGCGUGGGGGAGCAAACAGGAUUAGAUACCCUGGUAGUCCACGCCCUAAACGAUGUCAACUAGUUGUUGGGGAUUCAUUUCCUUAGUAACGUAGCUAACGCGUGAAGUUGACCGCCUGGGGAGUACGGUCGC
rnacentral:rRNA from 1 species